CCGCCGAGCCUUUUCAGCAGCAGAACAGUUCGGCUCCUUUUAUUUGGAUUCUUACAGCUUUACUCACAUUUCACUUGACGCAAAAUGUGCCUUUUAUUUGGAUUCUUACAUCUUUACUCCCAUCUCACUUGACGCAAAAAAGAACUGUCAGGAUCAAAAGUUGAGGUGAUCAUCAUGAGACAUCCGUGGAGACGAGCCGAGGAGACGCCGGGCUCCAUCACAUGACAGGUGACGCGAGAAUCUGCAGUGAGGACCAGCAGCAGCAGACGGAGGAGGAGGAGGAUUUCCACCUCCCAAAGGACAUUUCAUUAGACAAUGAGGACACCUGAAGCCCCCACACCCGGCUCCUCCACCCGUCCCUGGACCACCUGAGCUGGUUAAAUGUUACAUGAAAGUUAUAGCUCUGAGGAAAAACAUGAAAAAGAUCCAGCUGUUUGUGCUGAAAGCAGCUGUGAUGAUGAAGAUGAGGAAGACCAGGAAGUGCAGGCAGCAGAGGCCAUCUUGGACGGCUCCUAUGAUCUCAUCUCUGCCAGUCUAAUCAAGGGAGCUGAGGCUGUGUGGCAGCUGGGAAAACUCCCCAAAGGAAACAAUGCAGCUCAAACAAUAACCACCAAUAAAGACUAAGACACAGGCAGAAGGUGUCAUCCGGUGUUUGUGAGUACUUUAAUCCCCAGAACCCCCCUCCUGGCCACCCAGGCCCGGCCAGGGCGUCCCCGCAGCUCUGGCUCCCCCUAGCCGCCUCUCCAAGCUUCCUCUAGUGCGCACCAGCAGCCCUGGCCCUCCCUGCUCUCUAACACACCAAAGACACCAAAAUAUACCUGCAAACCUACACUUUUCGGCGGAAACCCCGGGUAUAAAGUCCCCCUUUGCCUCCCAUGCACCAUUGGGCCCCAUUGGUGCCAAAACCAGGGAGGAUUUCUUACCUUUAGUCUGAGGCCUCUACCAGUUCCUCCCUGUUCAGGCUCCUAACGUCGCCAGCCUCCUUCUUCUUCCCAGCAAUCCCUGCAGAAAGGACACGUCCAUGUAGGUUGGCUAUGCAGGGGUGAUCAAAUUGGGUAAAACCAUUUCUGAAGACCCCAAUUAGCCCCCCAAAUCAAAAAAAGGCCAUUUGGGCCCCAAAUACACCUAAGCUCCAAUAUGGGUUUAAAAAAUGGCACAAAAGUGGCUUUAAAUAGCAAAACCCCCCACCCAUAAAUCAUAUUUCCCACCCCCUUAAAUUUCAACUUCUUGUGCUCCAUCCAAUAGUCACAGGCUUGUUUCUGACGCGCAGCCGCCGGUGAGAGCGCAGCUGAACCGGCAGCUGUCCGCCGUGCGUUUCCAAGCCCUGGAGCAUCUCUAGGAGGCUACAAACAAUCCAUUGGUGGCAUUUAUUGGUUAAAUAGAACCUUUUCUUUUGGAAUAAGUCAAAAAUAUCGCAGGGGGAAAUAUUCCACGCGAGGAAAAUAGCACUAUGCCUAAAGAGCGCGGCGUGUCCAAGUGGACCGCUCCACCAGGGCGCAGGUGGAACCAGAGCUCAGACAGCUCUCCAAAGGCUCCAGGGAGGAAAGAAAUAGAAGAUAAUCCAUCUUAAAAGGUAAAAAAAAUAUUAUUUGCUCUCAAUUCGACUGAUUAUGCAAAAAAAGUUUAAAAUAUACUCGAAAAAAUAUCAAAUGAAGUCCAAGAAAGAAGCGAGUAAGAUGAGAAAGAUGUUCCAGAUGGCGCAGUUGCACCCUGGAUGAUGUCGUUGAGGAAUUUCACGAAUUAAAGAGUAUUAUUUUCCUAAAUAUCCGUUUAUAAAUGACAGCAGAGCCGUAGGACAGAUUUUAACCUGAAAACACCAUAAUCCUCACCAGCAGUAAGAAGAAAAGCAGACGAAUAUCCGCGCUGUGGACGCGCGCAGCCAGCGCGCAAAAAAGACUCAGUCCGCCCCUUCAGAUGCGUUUGAAUGAGCAAAGAUUCAGUCCUACAACGCGACAAACAUCCCCAGCAGACGGUUUCCGUGAAGCCUGGUCCUGCCACGGCGGUUGGAGUUGUUUCCCCCCAAAACAAACCUUCAUGCAAAUGAAGGCGCAGCUUCAGCGCCAGUGCGGGAUCCCGCUCCGCCUCGAGUCCUGGUGUCCUGAUGAACACAGGACAGGCAUGAAGGAGCCCUCUGUCUGUUUGGUGUGACAACAAUAACCCCCCUUCAUCUGCCCAGAAUCCUCCGGGGGCAUCAGCAUCAUCAACCCCACCGGCUGAUGCAUAAAGCCUUUAUUCAGGACCAGAGCGCAGCAGCAGCGCGCCUGUCCUAUCAGCUGUAGCGGCUCACAUUUCACACAAAGGACAGAUAUGAUGCUGUAUUUAGGGAAACACUUGUGCAGCAGCUGCGCGUCUGUCGCGGACAGAAGGCGCAUGCAGCAUCCACAGCAGGGCGGCCUCAUGCUGGAAAAUGCGCCGUUUUCAUUUUAAUAUGCGGAGGGUGUUGAUGAACAGAAAUCCACAAAGGGUCUGGUGACUCGUCUAAUCGAUUUUCUACGCCCCCCGCACCAAUCGUUAUGAUUGAUUGAUUGAAGAAUGUAUUAGAAGAAUUGCAUAGGAUCAGGUACAGUUUCAUGACAGUACAGAUUCGCUGAUACAAAGUCAACUAAAAGGCAUUAUUCCAAGAAAGCAUUACACUUGUUUACAUUGGAGACUUUUUUUUAACUCAUAUAACAUUGAAUGACAUAAGAAGCAGUACUUUGUAGGGAAGAUUGUAAAAAAAAGAAAAGGGGGGAAUUACUGUUAUUUGCUCCGGGAGAGACUAAAAAGGUGAUGAGACAAAUAGAAUAAGCUAGGUAAUACAAAACAAAAGCAGAAAACAAAACAAAAAACAAAAACAAGAAGCAAUAGGUAAUCAGAAGGAACAGCGGGAUGUGCAAUAGAGGCUCUGAUUAUUCCCAGUUACGAGUACUCCUGUAGGUGGCUUUUUAGGCAUAGUCUGUUCAUGUGAGCAGCUUCUUUAUUUUAUUCUAACUGCGUCCGAAAUUCCAUCCAUCCACCCUAAUGAGUAGCAAAAACAGUAGGCUAUGUGAGAUUUUUUAGUGCGUCCGAAACAUACGCACUCAAUAUAUGCGCUAUCCAUACUCAUUCCGGAGAAAUUUAUUAGUAUGGAUUGAUGGCAUGGAUCUAUUAUAAGAUUGAUGGACAUUAGCUAAGUAGAAACUUCCCACAAUGCAAUGCACCGGUGUUGCUAAGUGCUGCGCAGAUACGUAGGCUAUAUGCAGUACUGGAGUUGAGGGGGAUGAGGGGAUGAGGGGGAUGGCAUCCCCCCCUGAAAUAAAAACGGUCCAAAUCAUCCCCCCUGUAAAACUGCCAUCCCCCCUUUCUAU